rnacentral:rRNA from 1 species
UACGUAGGGUGCAAGCGUUAUCCGGAAUUAUUGGGCGUAAAGAGCUCGUAGGCGGUGUGUCGCGUCGGCCGUGAAAACUUGCAGCUUAACUGUGGGCGUGCGGUCGAUACGGGCAUCACUGGAGUUCGGCAGGGAGACUGGAAUUCCUGGUGUAGCGGUGAAAUGCGCAGAUAGUCAGGAGGAACACCGGUGGCGAAGGCGGGUCUCUGGGGCC